rnacentral:rRNA from 1 species
GACGAACGCUGGCGGCGUGCCUAAUACAUGCAAGUCGAACGGAGUGGCGCACGGGGGUGUAAUAUAUAGCUAAUCUGCCCCUUGCUGGGGGACAACAUCCUGAAAUGACUGCUAAUACUCCAUAGCAAGGGAUGAGACUAUAUCGUAUCAGCUAGUUGGUGGGGUAACGGCCUACCGAGGCUAUGACGCGUACCUGGUCUGAGAGGAUGAGCCGUAACAUUGGAAGUGAGACACGGUCCAAACUCCUACGGGAGGCAGCAGAAGGGAAUAUUGCUCAAUCGGGGAAACCCAGACGCGGCAACGGAGCGUGGAGGAUGAUACGUUUCGGAGCGUAAACUCCUUUUGUUAGGGAAGCGGUACCUAACGAAUAAGCACCGGCUAACUCCGUGCCAGCAGCCGCGGUAAUUC